UGCCUACGGGGGGCAGCAGUGGGGGAUAUUGCACAAUGGGGGGAACCCUGAUGCAGCGACGCCGCGUGAGUGAAGAAGUAUCUCGGUAUGUAAAGCUCUAUCAGCAGGGAAGAAGCAAGACGGUACCUGACUAAGAAGCCCCGGCUAACUACGUGCCAGCAGCCGCGGUAAUACGUAGGGGGCGAGCGUUAUCCGGAUUUACUGGGUGUAAAGGGAGCGUAGACGGCAUGGCAAGUCUGGAGUGAAAGCCCGGGGCCCAACCCCGGGACUGCUCUGGAAACUGCCAUGCUAGAGUGCUGGAGAGG
rnacentral:rRNA from 1 species